rnacentral:rRNA from 1 species
AGGGUUUGAUUCUGGCUCAGGAUGAACGCUGGCGGCGUGCUUAACACAUGCAAGUCGAACGAGGGAUUUUGGAUGAGACUUCGGUGGAUUCCGGAAUACCGAGUGGCGGACGGGUGAGUAACGCGUGGGCAACCUGCCCUGUACAGGGGGACAACAGCUGGAAACGGCUGCUAAUACCGCAUAAGCGCACGGUAUCGCAUGAUACAGUGUGAAAAACUCCGGUGGUACAGGAUGGGCCCGCGUUGGAUUAGGUAGUUGGUGGGGUAACGGCCUACCAAGCCGACGAUCCAUAGCCGACCUGAGAGGGUGACCGGCCACAUUGGGACUGAGACACGGCCCAA